GAUGAACGCUGGCGGCGUGCCUAAUACAUGCAAGUCGAGCGAACAGACGAGGGGCUUGCUCCUCUGACGUUAGCGGCGGACGGGUGAGUAACACGUGGAUAACCUACCUAUAAGACUGGGAUAACUUCGGGAAACCGGAGCUAAUACCGGAUAAUAUAUUGAACCGCAUGGUUCAAUAGUGAAAGACGGUUUUGCUGUCACUUAUAGAUGGAUCCGCGCCGCAUUAGCUAGUUGGUAAGGUAACGGCUUACCAAGGCAACGAUGCGUAGCCGACCUGAGAGGGUGAUCGGCCACACUGGAACUGAGACACGGUCCAGACUCCUACGGGAGGCAGCAGUAGGGAAUCUUCCGCAAUGGGCGAAAGCCUGACGGAGCAACGCCGCGUGAGUGAUGAAGGUCUUCGGAUCGUAAAACUCUGUUAUUAGGGAAGAACAAAUGUGUAAGUAACUAUGCACGUCUUGACGGUACCUAAUCAGAAAGCCACGGCUAACUACGUG
rnacentral:rRNA from 1 species